GAUGAACGCUGGCGGCGUGCCUAAUACAUGCAAGUCGAGCGAACAGACGCGGAGCUUGCUCCUCUGACGUGAGCGGCGGACGGGUGAGUAACACGUGGAUAACCUACCUAUAAGACUGGGAUAACUUCGGGAAACGGGAGCUAAUACCGGAUAAUAUAUUGAACCGCGUUGUGCAAUAGUGAAAGUCGGUUUUGCGGGCACUUAUAGAUGGAUCCGCGCCGCAUUGGCUAGUUGGGAGGGUCACGGCCUUCCAGGGCAACGAGGCGUAGCCGACUGGAGAGGCGGUUCGCCGCCACUAGAGCGUGACCACGCACAAUGGUCCUACGGUAGGCACCAGACGGCAAUCUGCCGCAGUGGGCGAAAGCCUGACGCAGCACCCCCGCGUGAGAGAUAAAGGUCUCGGGAUCGUAAAGCCCGCUUUUUGGGGAUGAACAAAUGUGUAAGUAACUGUGCCCGUCUUGACGGUACCUAAUCAGAAAGCCCCGGCUAACUACGUG
rnacentral:rRNA from 1 species